CAUUUUGGAGCUGUUUUGAGCCUGUUUUGGGGCGAAAAUAGUGCCGUCCAUAACAUUCUCCCCCGCUCAAUCUCGCGACGACCUCGGCGCGUGCUCCUUGUAAGCCUGGAUGAGAUCUUGGUGAUUCCACAAAGUUAGCUCAUGCUCCCAACUCGCCUCGCUGUCAGGAGACCCUUUCCACUUGACAAAGUAUUCAGUGUAGCUUGGGUGAGUCNNN
rnacentral:lncRNA from 1 species